rnacentral:lncRNA from 1 species
CCAGGGCAAGAAAGUUAAUCUUUGGUGAGGGUCCAAAUCCUAUUUCUGAUGGUGGACGUGAUCUCUUAUUCGGGGCAGGCCUCUCAAACCUUGAAUAUGGGUACCUAUGUGAGAUCAUGGGUCGUUCAUUUUGGGCUCCACAGAUCUUUAAUUGUAGUGCACCUGACACAGGAAAUAUGGAGGUAAAUAUUAUUUCCAGGUUUGUUAGAAUCUCAGGAGCAAUCAUUUUCUGUUGCCACCAUGUUGCCCUUCCUCUUUCAUUUUUGAAAGUGCCAUUUCUAUUUGCCUAAGAAGCUUUACUCUUGGUAAUGACAGUUGUCACUUUCGGAGUCUUAUUAUUAUUUUGAGAAAUACUUUUAUGAGCUCUUGUAAUCUGCACAAUGCCCGGAAGGAUGACAUGGUUUAUUUUUCUGCAUAUAUCAUCUUCAAGUUUGUUGGGUCUGAUUAUUAUGCUUAAGCAUUUGAUUCUAGGUACUAUUGCGAUAUGGAAAUAAAGAACAACUAGAAGAAUGGCUUAUUCCAUUGCUCGAGGGGAAGAUUCGGUCUGCAUUUGCAAUGACAGAACCGCAAGUUGCCUCUUCUGACGCAACCAAUAUUGAGUGCUCUAUUAAAAGGUGGAUUUCUCAUCAUGGUUCGUAAAUGGAAUGGACCUUUUUAUCUACUAAAUGGGGUGAAAGUUAUUUUUCGUUUUAGUGACAAAAAAUCUGAUAAAAAUCAGUAGGCAUUAUAUUUCUUUGUUAUCAUGCUUCAUUGUAUAUAAUUAUAUAAUUUAGUUAGAGUUUCUUCUCAGAAUUUUAUGACUGUUAAUGGAUUUCUUGUACAGACAAGGGGAUUCCUAUAUCAUCAAUGGGAACAAGUGGUGGACUAGUGGAGCCAUGGAUCCAAGAUGCAGAGUUCUUAUAGUCAUGGUUAGUUCUUCUAAAAUGGUGUGGCACGAAUAGUUUAUUUGUUGUUCCUGUAGCUGAAGUGGGUGAUCUGAAUCAAUCUGCAGGGAAAAACAGAUUUCUCUGCCGCUAAGCAUAAGCAGCAAUCUAUGAUCUUAGUUGAUAUCAAGACUUCUGGUGUACACAUAAAGAGACCACUCUUGGUGUUUGGCUUUGAUGAUGCACCUCAUGGGCAUGCAGAAAUUUCAUUUGAGAAUGUGUGUGUACCCGCAAAGAAUAUUCUGCUAGGAGAAGGACGCGGAUUUGAGAUUGCCCAGGUACAGUUGUUCUAUGCAUUUCACUAUCACAGGGAAGUCUGUCCUGAUUAAAAUUUUUAUUAGGAGUGUAUAUACAUGUCCUGAACACAGCAGCAUGAAGAUGAAAAGAACAUGGUAGAAUUUAGUUUUUUGGCUUCUAUAGAUUGAUAACAGCUGUGCAUUGCAGUUAUUAGACCGGUUCUGUGAGUGGAUUUACGCUGGGGACUGCAUUGUUAUUUGUGCAGGCAUACAAUUUGAAUAUUUCAUCUCCUUUUGCUUCUCUUUACUUACUUACAGGGUAGACUAGGCCCAGGAAGGCUGCACCAUUGCAUGAGACUGAUAGGUGCAGCUGAGCGUGGCAUGCAGCUGAUGGCUGAGAGGGCUCUUAGUAGAAAAGCAUUUGGAAAGUUUAUUGCUCAGCACGGUUCUUUUCUUUCAGAGAUGGCCAAGGUGAUCUAAGUUAGCUCCAGAUUUGGGAAAAAUUAUCAAAAUUCUACUGUUCUACCUCUGAGGGGAAAUUAAUUUUGUGAUCUGAAAGUGAAUUUGGUAACCAAACUGAUCUUUGUUACCGGUGGUGUCAUGCAGUGCCGAAUAGAGCUGGAGAGGACCAGAUUGUUAGUUCUCGAGGCAGCUGACCAGCUGGAUCGCCUUGGAAACAAAAAAGCUCGUGGAACCAUUGCAAUGGCAAAGGUAACUGAUGUGCCUUCUAAUUUGAUUAUUGUUUAAUCAGAUCCUGGUUUAUUGGUUUAUUUAUAUCAAUCACCCGUAUUGUGUGAAAUUUCUUUGAUGCAUGGACCAGGUAGCAGCUCCAAACAUGGCACUGAAAGUGCUGGACAUGGCAAUGCAAGUGCACGGUGCGGCUGGCUUUUCAACCGACACUGUUCUGUCACAUCUCUGGGCCACAGCAAGAACUUUGAGAGUUGCAGAUGGACCUGAUGAUGUCCACUUGGGGACCAUUGCCAAGUUAGAGUGAUGUUUUACAUUCUCAAGUUCGGUGAUCUGGUUAGAAAUCUUAUCUCAAUCACUCUAUGCAAUUUCAUAUCUCCAGUAAUCUAAGCAAAUCAUGGACUUUCUUGUGCUUUCAGUACACCAUAUGUGCUAGAACAAUUUUCUCAACUGCUGACAAAAGUAUAUCCGCAAUGAAUUUAAAGCUUCUAAUUGUGUUAGACACAAAGUUCAGUUCAUUAAAUUUAAUAAUCUGCUUGAUGGUUUAAGACUGAAAUAUUAUAAACUGUCCUAUGUGAUUUUGAUUCUGGCAAAGUCCAUCCGGCCAGCUGUUGAUGAGCAGCACUGAGCUUCAUCUGCUAAAGCAGCUUUCUACUUUGUUACUCUUUAUGUGCUUAUGUAUGAAGUUGCUACUGUUGUUUUUAACUCUUUUUCAUUAUGUAUUAAAUAAUGUGGAAACUCCCUGUUGACGAGUAUCAAGCCAUAAGCAACAACAAUGAACGACCAACAGCUUAGAUAGGAGUUGCUAUUCUAACAUUCAGCGUGAAUUUUUAUAAUGGCAAAACUAUAGAAUCACAAACUCUUGUAUUUAUUAGGGGUGUUAAGAAUUUAAUCUGAUCCGUUCAAUCUGUCUUAUUCAUAGAAAUUCGAUCCAAAAAAUUCGAUCUGUGGAUUUGUGGAUUGGACUUGAUUAAAAAUUUGAUCAUCCGCAAUCGAUAGAUUGGAUAUGUAUCUACUUCUACAAAUUCGUAAAAAUCUGUGAAUCUGUAAAAAAAUAAAAAGUAUUUAUUUAAUUAAAAUAUAAGUUAAAAUAUGGUAUUAGUACUUACUAGUAAAUAAAUAAGUUAAAAUAUAGUUACAUUAAAAUUAUAUUAUAUAUUAUCCGAUAAUAAUAUAAAAUAUAAAAUAAUUAAAUAAACAAAUAUAAUUUUCAUGUACUGAUCUAAACGAAUGAAUUUUUUUUUCGUUUUGGUGGGUUGUGUUAUGAAACUUUAAAUGUAUUUUCUAGUUUUAUUUAAACAAUUAAUUUAUUUAAAUCUUAUUUAAUUUUUAAUUUAAUCGGCAAUAAAAUUAUUUUUAUAUUAAAAAUUUUUUAUUUAGUUAGUUCGUGGAUUGGACAGUAUUAAAAUUUUUUAGUUCGCAAAAUGGUGGAUUAGAUAUACAUUAGGUUAAAUCCUCAUUUAAUCCGCAGAUGUAUGAAUUGGAUUUUGAUAGUGGAUUGGACAAUAUUAAAAAAUUUUAGUCUGCAAAUCAAUCUGUAAAAUUGUGGAUUGGAUAUGGAUUGGGUUAAAUCCUCAUUUGAUCUGUAGAUGUAUGAAUUGAAUUUGAAUUGAAUUUCACAAAUUCAUGAAUUGGAUUGAAUUGAAAAUUUAUAAUUCGCCAAAUUAUAGAUCGAAUAUGGAUUGAGAUCCAAUCCGUAAAAUCUGAUCCGCGAACACACCUAAUAUUUAUAAAUAAACUUGUUCAGGUUUGAUGUGGUAAUUAAUAAUUUUUUGAAUUAAAAAAAAAAAAGAAAUCAUUUGAUCCUAUUAUAAUUUUAAUUCAAUAUUAUUUCCAUAAAACUGUUAACUGUAUUAUUUUGAUUCAUAAACUAUGUUUCUAUAACCCCGACAGCAUCUCGCCUAAAAAGUAUCUCAAACCUCGAAAGUUUCUUAAAACAGAAAAUUUUAUCCAAAACAAACAUCACGUCACGCGACUCAUAACGGCGCGUCAGCACCACCCGCAACAUCCAUUUCCUCACUCGAGCGACGCAUUCAACUCCAAUAAACUACUACAACAAUGUUAUAAUAAAAUAUAUACAGAUAUAUUAUAUUAUAUCUCGAGAUAAUGAUGAGAACAAAACCUUUCCACUCCAAUCACUUGAUUAAUUCAUUUGAAGCUCUCAUUGUUUGUUAUUUUAGCGUUGAUUGCGUAUACGGCGAGAUCGAGAAAUCAAUUCAUCAUGGCGAGCCGAACAGGUGAUCUAGUGAGCCCAUUCCAGCCAGCUCACCAGCUCGACCUCGAUGCUUUGCUCCGUUACGCCUCCGUUAACGUCCCUGACUUCCCGCGCUCUCCUUCUAAAUUCACUAUUUCUCAGGUAUUUGUUUGUUUUUAAUUUAUUUAUUUAUCUGUGUUUUUGAGUUUUAAUUAAUUAUUUAUUUAUUUUGCUUUUAGUUUGGACAUGGACAAUCAAACCCGACGUUUCUUAUGGAAGUAGGUUCCGGAGCGGCGGUGAAACGGUACGUUUUGAGGAAGAAGCCUGCAGGUAAAUUGCUCGAGUCUGCUCAUGCUGUCGAUCGAGAGUUUCAGGUGGCAUCUCUGUAAUUGUUUUACAUGAAUACAUACACGCGCAGACUUGAAUAUAUGAUAAAUGUCACAUUUAUCGAUUAUUUAUACAUAUAACAAUUAGGGCAAAAUUAUCUUACCCCCGUUGUACCAAACAUUAUUUUAAUAUGUUUUUUAGCAGUCCCUAUAAUUUUUCGUAAAUAAUAAAAAUUUUAAAUUUUAAAACUUUUAUACAAUAAGCCCAAUCAAAAUAUAAUAAUUUCAAAUUUCUAAAAAAUUUAUUUAGCAUUUUCUUCAACAAUUCCUAUUGUUUUAUGUAAAUAAUAAAAACAAUUAGUUUUAAUAAUUUUAUGUAAUAAACCCAAUUAAAAUAUAGAGAAAUUAUCAUUGAAUCACUUUUAUUUUGUCUUAUGUUCAUCUAACCAUUACAAAAUUUUAACAUGUACUUUGCACUACCUUUCUUUUCACAUUUGUAUCAACUAGCCACUUUUGCAUUAACACUAUUAAAUAAUUUUAAUAAAAUGAUAAUUUUACCCCCAAAUAAAUUAAAAGACUAUUUUAUCUUAUAAAAACUUUUAAAAUUUAAAAUUAUAAUCAUAAAAUAUCCCUAAAUUUAAUAAAAUAAAUAAAUCACAAAUAGAGGUGCUCAACUGAUUUUUACUAACCUUGGCCGUACAGCAGUUUUUUAAUUAUAAAUUUUAUUGAGAUUUUUAUUAAAAAUAAAAUUCUAAUUUUGGGAUUUAUUUUUAUUAAAUUUAGGGAUAUUUUUAUCAUUAUAAUUUUUUAUUUUUUAAAGUUUUCAUAAAAUAAAAUGGUCUUUUAAUUUAUUUGGGUAAAAUUGUCAUUUUAUUAAAAUUAGUUAAUAGUGUUAAUGCAAAAGUGGCUACUUGAUACAAAUGUGAAAAGAAAUGUGGUGCAAAGUACAUAUUAGAAUUUUAUAGUGGUUGGAUGAACAUAAAGCAAAAUAAAGGUGGUGCAAUGAUAAUUUCCCAUAAAUGAAAAACAAGUAUAUUAACUGCCAAGGUUUGUCAAAAAAAAAAAUAGGUGCAAUGAUAAUUUUCCUACAAUAUAAUAAUUUUAAAAUUCUAAAAAAUGUAUUCUCUCUAUCUCCUUCUAUACAUAUUUUAAAUUUAAGUAAUAGAAUAAAUAUUAUAUAAUAUAUUUGUUUUCAUAUCAAAUAAAUAAUUGAUCAACUUCAUACGUGUGAUAAAAUAUAAAUAAUUUUACAUAAUCUCAAAUUUACAUAUAGAAACUUAUUAUUUUGAAAAUAUUAUUUAUAAACUCUAUAAUGAAUUUAAAUGACUAUCCAAGCAUUUAUUUAAUAUUUAUUUAUUUUUCAUUUUAAUAUUGUCAAAAUUUAGAUAAAACCUUAUCUAAUUUUGUGUUACACUAAAUACAAAAUAGUAUUAUUAAAAUCUAAUUCGUAUUUUAAGUAAAUGGAAGUUGAGAGUAUUUUAGCAAGUUAAAAUAAUGCAUCCAUAUUUUUAAUAAAUAAAUAUGUUCAUUUACUAAAUUACCUUUGAUAAUAAAAUAUUUUAACAUACCAAUGUGUCAAAAUUUUGAAACUUAAUCUUUUCUUAUUCUUUUAGUAAACAUAAGAGACCAUAUUGUUAAUAACCAAAUAGUAACAUUUAAGCCGGAAUAGUCUUUGCACCUCUUGGGUUGGAUGCAAUGGUUGGAUCACAAAAAGAUAAAAAAAAUGGGUAUGAAACCACAAUUGUAUUGUAGCUGGACCCAUAACAAUUAUAUAUAUCAAAAGUCAAGUAGAAUUUUGAAUCUUUUGAUGUGACAGGUUCUUCGGGCGUUAGGUGAUCAUACUGUAGUUCCAGUUCCUAAAGUGUUCUGUUUGUGUACUGAUCCUAAUGUUAUUGGAACUGCAUUUUACAUCAUGGAAUUUUUGGAAGGUCGGAUUUUUAUUGACUCAAAGUUGCCUGUAAUGCACUCUUUCUCUUUAGUCUCUUACUUGAUGAGUUGAUAAUCAAAUUGAAUUAGUGUAAGAAUUUGUCUUUGGCUUGAAAUUUUGGAUUUUGGUGUUGAUAUGUCUGAUUAGGGUGUGCCACCGGAGAGGAGAAGAGCUAUAUAUCGAGCAACUGCAAAAACAUUAGCUUCUAUUCAUUCGGCUAAUGUGGAUAUGAUUGGACUGGGUAAAUAUGGGAGGCGAGACAACUACUGUAGACGGCAGGUUCUUGAAUUCUUUUUGAAAGUUUUAGCUAAUUUAGCUUUGUAAUUUAUUUGCUUUAAAGCAAAGAACUUGAAUUUACAGCUUAGAAUAUGAAGUUGCACUGUAGAAGCUGUAAAUUUAGAAAAAGAGAGAUAACUUAUAAUAUCUUGCAACUAAGGGGCACUUUUGAUUUUUGCUUUUUGUUUAGAUAGAAAGGUGGGCUAAACAAUAUACUGCUUCAACUGCUGAGGGUAAGCCUGCGAGUAAUCCCAAAAUGUUUCGGCUGAUUGAUUGGUUACGGCAGAAUAUUCCCCCUGAAGAUUCAUCUGGAGUAGCAGCAGGCAUAGUUCAUGGGGAUUUUCGAAUUGAUAAUCUUGUAUUUCAUCCUAUUGAGGUCUGGAACUCCUAAAUUCCUUUAUUAACUUAUAUUCAUAGAUUUUUCUCUUAACAUAGCUAUCUGUGUGGUUUAAAUAUAUGUCAUUAAUUUAAUUAUGAUCAUUCAUUAUUGUAAAACAUUAGCUCUAUAAGUUGCAACUCUUGCUUUUUCUUGUAAAAUGAAAUAUAGAAUGUGUGGUUUUUUUCACUUGUGUUGAAUGAAAGCUCAAUUUUAACAUAUAUUUCUGAAUAGCUUAUGUAGUCCGAGUUGCACUUUUGAUGAUAACAUCUUAGUGCAGGAUCGCGUGAUUGGUAUUCUCGACUGGGAGUUAUCUACUCUUGGAAACCAGAUGUCUGAUGUCGCACACUGCUGUCUGGUACCAAGUCAAUUCUCAACUUUAGUUUCUGUCGUCAAAAGAGCUAUACCCUCUUGCUUUGUUCCUUAUGUUGCACAGGCCAUUCUGUUGACACAUAAUAUUCCUUUUAAUGUAUGAGUGGUUUGUUCGGGGCCAUCUUUAUGCUAAUUACUUAUUCCCUUUCGUGGCAGCCUUAUUCUGUGGUUAUUGGGCAGAACAAACAUCUGGAUGCAGGUUUUGAAGUUACUGGAAUUCCAGAAGGGAUUCCCUCACAGGCUGAAUUUCUGGAUGACUACUGUUCUGCAUCUGUAAGACACAUGUCUAACACUGAUUAAACUGUGGUACUUGUGCACCGUUCCACACACUCUCUGUCCCCUUCUUGUCCUCUUAUGUUGAAAUUAUGGUGAUAUUUUGAAAUUUUUUUUUUUUUUCUAAAUUUUGAUUUCCUUCUUGGUUUUGUUUUAAUAUUUUCAAAAGGAGUCUACUGGAUGGUUGAGGAAGGCUAUAAGUAUGGAUCGUGAUAAUUCAUUUUUCUGGGACUCAUGAUUUCAUAAUGUUUUGUCAAGAAAAUAUGCACCACUUGCUCAUCUUAUGGAAAGUGAUGUCUAUCGAAUAUAUUGCACUACUAAAGCAUGUAAACCAGGGGAUACUAGCUGAUAAUAAUGAAUUUAAUCUAUCUUAAAUAUGGUAAGGAUGACUGGUAAGGUUUGAUUUUUGACAUGCUCUCAAGGUUUGCUAAUUUUUAGAUGAGCUUUACUUCCUUGUAAAUGUGAUGGUUAUUCUAGAAUUCUCAUCGGUGUUAUCCUCCUACCUUAUUAAGGACUGACUUAUACUAUGAAUGUUGAAAUGUAGGGAAAACCAUGGCCCGCCAAGGUGUGGAAAUUCUAUGUUGCAUUUGCUUUAUUCCGUGGGGCAUCAAUUUGCACAGGCGUAUAUAACAGAUGGCUGCUGGUAUUCAGUGAUGAGAAAGAGCUUGAUGCUUGAGAAUUAAGUACCACAAAAAGCUUUUGUGUUGAAAUAUCAGGCCACUUAUAUGAUAUUUCUAUUUACUGUGACCUUACAGGGUAAUGCUUCAGGAGGUGAACGCGCCCGAUAUGUAGGAAAUCAUGCCAAUGAGCUUAUAAAUUUUGCUAUGGAUUUUAUUGCACGGAAAUCUGUGCUUCCAGAAUAUCCUCCAUCUGGUAAUUUAAUCAUUCAAAAGUAUAUUUGGAACUGGGGACACCAAUACUUUUACACAACGUACUUUGCUUUGUAUAUGAACUUUGUACGGAAUGGAAAUGAUGGAUAUGCACUACAGUGUCUGUUUCUGUUUUGAACCUCAUAAUUUACUAUGUUUUUAUAGUUCUAUAAAACAUGAUGUAGGAUGUUAAUUGAUGAUUUUCUGAUUUUAAUUAUUUUUAGAACAUUUUAAUUUUUUCCAUUUCAAUUAGUGUCUUACUAGGUUUGUGUCUAGUGUUUUAUUUGUAGUUUAAUUGUGAUGCAGUUUCCCUAUUUAAGUUAACUUGGAGAAGUAUGCUUACCCUAUUAUAAAUAGAGAGGUCUUGUCAUUGUUUUUCCUACACUCUUUUGAUUGGAAAAAACCCUCUUUUCUGAUUCUCUUUAGAUUAUCUAUCAAAAUCUCUCUUAUAGAGUCAUUUGAAUUAGAACAUCAUCUAAUCUCGAUGUAAAACGUUAAUAUCAAAAAUCUUGUUACACUAUCGACUCAUUUAGAUUAUAAUGAAAUCUAAUAUCACUUUGACUAAAGCAAUAAGCUAAUUGCAUUGGCUAGACCAUUAUUGGAAAAAUAUCUAGUGUUUAUCGACCCUAUCAAUCCGCUUCUGCUAUCCCGCAUCAUAUUUGUCGGCAUUCAUAUAGAGGGAGAGUUAUAAAGCCUAGAUUAUCUAACGAACAAUGAUUAUUUGCUGUGCGGCACAGAGGUAUUAUAACUUUCCUUUAUCAUGGCUGUAGUAUAUUCAAAGAUCAUCAUUCCUUGCCUGCUAUUUGAUUUGUUGUAUGCAAAACAAUUAGCCUAAAGUAAUUUUAUUCAACUUAUGCAAUUUUAGUUGCACAAGCAGAUGCAAAACAAUUUGGAAACGGGAACAAAAUUCAAAACAUUCUAGACGAAAGAGGAAGGUUUGUUCCCAGCCAAAGGGUUCUGGAACUGAGAAACAAAUUGAUUAAGUUCAUGGAAGAUUACAUAUACCCCAAUGAAAAAGAAUUUGAAAAACUUGCUCAGUCUGAUGCACGCUGGAUGAUUCACCCAGAGGAGGACACGUUAAGGGAGCUGGCAAGGAAAGAGGGGUUAUGGAACUUAUGGAUACCAGUAUGUUUCCAUAUCUGCUCCCAGUCAUAUUUCUUUGUUUCUGAUUUCUGUAUUUUCCUUUGCCCUUGCUGCUCUUCUUAGCUAAAAAGAGGCUGGUUGGUGCUAAUUAAUUUGUUUUCUUUGAAUAUUCGUUUUAAUUGCAGUUUGACAGUGCUGCCAGGGCGAGAAAGCUAAUCUUUGGUGAGGGUCCAAAUUCUAUUUCUGAUGGUGGACAUGAUCUCUUAUUCGGGCCAGGCCUCUCAAACCUUGAAUAUGGGUACCUAUGUGAGAUCAUGGGUUGUUCCGUUUGGGCUCCACAGAUCUUUAAUUGUAGCGCACCUGACACAGGAAAUAUGGAGGUAAAUAUUAUUUCCAGGUUUAUUUGAAUCUCAGGAGCAAUCAUUUUCUGUUGCCACCAUGUUGCCCUUCCUCUUUCAUUUUUGAAAGUGCCAUUUCUCUUUGCCUAAGAAGCAUUAUUCUUGGUAAUGACGGUUGUCACUUUCUCAGUCUUAUUAUUAUUUUGAGAAAUACUUAUAUGAGCACUUGUAAUCUGCACAAUGCCAGGAACGAUGACAUGGUUUAUUUUGCUGCUUAUAUCAUCUUUAAGUUUGUUGGGUCUGAUUAUUAUGCUUGAG